rnacentral:tRNA from 1 species
GGGCCGGUGAUCUAGUGGUUAUGAUUCCGCCUUCACACGGCGGCCAUCGAGUGUUCGACUCACUCCCGGCCCACCA